GACGAACGCUGGCGGCGUGCCUAAUACAUGCAAGUUGAGCGCUGAAGGUUGGUACUUGUACCAACUGGAUGAGCAGCGAACGGGUGAGUAACGCGUGGGGAAUCUGCCUUUGAGCGGGGGACAACAUUUGGAAACGAAUGCUAAUACCGCAUAAAAACUUUAAACACAAGUUUUAAGUUUGAAAGAUGCAAUUGCAUCACUCAAAGAUGAUCCCGCGUUGUAUUAGCUAGUUGGUGAGGUAAAGGCUCACCAAGGCGAUGAUACAUAGCCGACCUGAGAGGGUGAUCGGCCACAUUGGGACUGAGAACCCGCCCAAACUCCUACGGGAGGCAGCAGUAGGGAAUCUUCGGCAAUGGACGGAAGUCUGACCGAGCAACGCCGCGUGAGUGAAGAAGGUUUUCGGAUCGUAAAAAUCUGUUGGUAGAGAAGAACGUUGGUGAGAGUGGAAAGCUCAUCAAGUGACGGUAACUACCCAGAAAGGGACGGCUAACUACGUG
rnacentral:rRNA from 1 species